ACCAAUAAGCGCCCGGCCCCGGCGCGCGUGAUCGGCGGCUGCCCCGCGGCGUGGCCGGUGUGUCAGCGCGGCGUGUCCGCGGCCCACGCUGGAACAGUUUUAACUACCAGAAAACAGCUCCAUCCCACUCUGCGUGGUCAGGAUCAUGCGCUUACCAGGAACUGUCUUCAGAGCCCUUCCAAAAAAGGACGUUUCCAGCAUCGAUGCGAGUGUGGGUGGAAGAGAAAGCAGCGAGUGAGGGUUGGGGGGUUCUUGUGCCCACAAAAGGCUUUGUCAGAUAAGGGAAUUUGCCGGGCGGAGGGUGUCAGACCACAGCGCCGGAGUCCGCCGCUUGUGCUGAGGCCAAACCGCUGGCGGCCAGCACAGCCCUUCGCCCCCUCCGCGUUCACCCGAUGCCCGCAGCGCCCCCCGCCCGCGCGGCCUCAGGCCGUGCUGCGGCUGCGGAGCCCCGAAGCGUCAGCGCCCCUGUGCUUCCCCACCGUAACAGCAGGUAUUUCCGUCUGAGAAGUGCAAUAAACCUGUAACUCGA